AUGGAGAAACAACUGAUGCUCAUUUUAAUUCUGACUCCAGGUGUGAUGACUGCAGACCAGAUUAGCCCAAAUAAAGAAGCUCUUACUGUAAAGGAAGAGGAGACAGUGACCUUCAGUUGCUCAUAUGAUACAAGCAGCAGUUAUGUUAGGCUUUACUGGUACAGACAAUAUCUUAAUGGAGAACCUCAGUAUUUAUUAUUCAAAGCUGCACGAUCAAGUAGUGGAGGUGGGAGACCCGAUAAUCCUCGUUUUAAGUCGACUACAUCAGACUCAUCCACUGAACUCACUAUUAGCGGUGUAACUCUGUCAGAUUCAGCUCUCUAUUAUUGUGCUCUAAGAGUAGGAGCCCAGUGAUAAAAAGUAUAUGAGAAGCCGUACAAAAACUCUAAUAAAUGUUUCACUUUGAUGUCAAACCACAUCAAAACCACAAUCUAUAAUUCACACGAUGCAUUUACACUUGUGGAAACACCUGGGUGUGGUUACUGUAAGAGCAAUGAAAAGGACAUAAAAUAAAGUGGAAUACUUCUUAAA